rnacentral:pre_miRNA from 1 species
UUUUUCGUUUUACGUCGGCAGUUAACUGCAGUCGGUUCUAAACUUCGAUAGUUAACUGCUGCGGGACAU